rnacentral:rRNA from 1 species
GACGAACGCUGGCGGCGUGCCUAACACAUGCAAGUCGAGCGGAGCUAGUAGCAAUAUUAGUUUAGCGGCGGACGGGUGAGUAACGCGUGGGCAACCUGCCUUCUACAGGGGGAUAACACAGGGAAACUUGUGCUAAUACCGCAGAACAUACGUAAGGGACAUACCUUGGUAUGAAAGGAGCAAUACGGUAGAAGAUGGGCCCGCGUCCGAUUAGCUAGUUGGAGGUGUAACGGACCACCAAGGCGACGAUCGGUAGCUGAACUGAGAGGUUGAUCGGCCACAUUGGGACUAAGACUCGGCCCAGACUCCUACGGGAGGCAGCAGUGGGUAAUAUUGCGCAAUGGGGGAAACCCUGACGCAGCAACGCCGCGUGAAGGAUGAAGGUCUUCGGAUUGUAAACUUCUUUAGUCGGGGACGAAGAAAUGACGGUACCCGAAGAAUAAGCCACGGCUAACUACGUGCCAGCAGCCGCGGUAA